ACGAACGCUGGCGGCGUGCUUAACACCUGCAAGUCGAACGGUGAAGCGCCUUCCUUUUUGGUGGGUGUGGAUGAGUGGCGAACGGGUGAGUAACACGUGAGUAACCUGCCCCCUUCUUCUGGAUAACCGCAUGAAAGUGUGGCUAAUACGGGAUAUUCUGGGUCUGUCGCAUGAUGGGUCUGGGAAAGAUAUUGUUUCGGUGGGGGAUGGGCUCGCGGCCUAUCAGCUUGUUGGUGGGGUGAUGGCCUACCAAGGCGGUGACGGGUAGCCGGCCUGAGAGGGUGGACGGUCACACUGGGACUGAGACACGGACCAGACUCCUACGGGAGGCAGCAGUGGGGAAUAUUGCACAAUGGGCGCAAGCCUGAUGCAGCGACGCCGCGUGAGGGAUGGAGGCCUUCGGGUUGUGAACCUCUUUCGCCAGUGAAGCAGGCCUGCCUCGUUUGUGGGUGGGUUGACGGUAGCUGGAUAAGAAGCGCCGGCUAACUACGUG
rnacentral:rRNA from 1 species